rnacentral:rRNA from 1 species
GCCGUUCUCAGUUCGGACUGUAGGCUGCAACUCGCCUACACGAAGCUGGAAUCGCUAGUAAUCGCGGAUCAGCACGCCGCGGUGAAUACGUUCCCGGGCCUUGUACACACCGCCCGUCACACCAUGAGAGUCUGUAACACCCAAAGCCGGUGGGAUAACCUUUAUAGGAGCCAGCCGUCUAAGGUAGGACAGAUGAUUAGGGUGAAGUCGUAACAAGGUAGC